GAGCUGGGCUGAGCUGGGCUGAGCUGGGGUGAGCUGAGCUGGGGUGAGCUGAGCUGAGCUGGGGUGAGCUGAGCUGAG
rnacentral:miRNA from 1 species